rnacentral:misc_RNA from 1 species
AAGUCGUAACAAGGUUUCCGUAGGUGAACCUGCGGAAGGAUCAUUAUCGAGUUUUGAAAUGGGUUGUAGCUGGCCUCCCGAGGCAUGUGCACGCCCUGCUCAUUCCACUCUACACCUGUGCACUUACUGUGGGUUCUAGAGGACGCCUUUAGGGGUGGUUUUCUGGGCUCAUGUUUCAUUUACAAGCACUUCAGUAUCAGAAUGUGUCUUGCGUUGUAACGCACCUAUAUACAACUUUCAGCAACGGAUCUCUUGGCUCUC